UGAGUACGAGAUGCUACGGCAUCGAAGCAGUCUAUGUCAUACUUCCAAGAAAAGCUUGCACUGUCAGAAACAGAUAAUGCCUGUACCAUAACCGACACAGGUGGGUAGGUAGAGUAUACUAAGGGGCGCGAGAUAACUCUCUCUAAGGAACUCGGCAAAAUGACUCCGUAACUUCGGGAGAAGGAGUGCCUAAUUUUUAAGGUUGCAAUAACAAGAUCCAAGCAACUGUUUACCAAAAACACAGGUCUCCGCUAAGUCGUAAGACGAUGUAUGGGGGCUGACGCCUGCCCAGUGCCAGAAGGUUAAAGAAGUCGGUUAGCAUUCGCGAAGCUGGUAACUGAAGCCCUGGUGAACGGCGGCCGUAACUAUAACGGUCCUAAGGUAGCGAAAUUCCUUGUCGGGUAAGUUCCGACCCGCACGAAAGGCGUAAUGAUUUGGAUACUGUCUCGGAGAGGGGCUCGGUGAAAUAGACUUGUCUGUGAAGAUGCGGACUACCUGCACCUGGACAGAAAGACCCUAUGAAGCUUUACUGUAACUUGAAAUUGAAAUUGGACUUUAUUUGCGCAGUAUAGGUGGGAGGCGUUGAAAAUAUUCUUGCGGGAAUAUUGGAGCCAUCAGUGAGAUACCACUCUUGUAAUGUUAGAUUUCUAACUUUAUAUCAUUAUCUGGUUAAAGAACAGUUUCAGGCGGGCAGUUUGACUGGGGCGGUCGCCUCCCAAAUGGUAACGGAGGCGCACAAAGGUUUCCUCUGAACGGGUAGAAAUCGUAUCUAGAGUGUAAAGGCAUAAGGAAGCUUGACUGUGAGACCUACAAGUCGAGCAGGGACGAAAGUCGGUCUUAGUGAUCUGACGGUGCUGAGUGGAAAGGCCGUCACUCAACGGAUAAAAGUUACUCUAGGAUAACAGGCUGAUCUCCCCCAAGAGUUCACAUCGACGGGGAGGUUUGGCACCUCGAUGUCGGCUCAUCGCAUCCUGGGGCGGUAGUACGUCCCAAGGGUUGGGCUGUUCGCCCAUGAAAGCGGUACGCGAGCUGGGUUCAGAACGUCGUGAGACAGUUCGGUCCAUAUCCGGUGUAGGCGUUAGAAUAUUGAGAGGAGCCUUCUUUAGUACGAGAGGACCGAGAAGGACAUACCUCUGGUGUACCAGUUAUCGUGCCAACGGUAAACGCUGGGUAGCUAUGUAUGGAGUGGAUAACCGCUGAAAGCAUCUAAGUGGGAAGCCCACCUCAAGAUAAGUAUUCUCU
rnacentral:rRNA from 1 species